rnacentral:rRNA from 1 species
UUCUUUUCCUUUUUCUACCAUGCAGUCGACGAUGAACCGCAUUUCGGGCGGGGAUUAGUGGCGAACGGGUGAGUAACACGUGGGCAAUCUGCCCUGCACUCUGGGACAAGCCCUGGAAACGGGGUCUAAUACCGGAUAUGACCGUCUGCCGCAUGGUGGAUGGUGUAAAGCUCCGGCGGUGCAGGAUGAGCCCGCGGCCUAUCAGCUUGUUGGUGAGGUAGUGGCUCACCAAGGCGACGACGGGUAGCCGGCCUGAGAGGGCGACCGGCCACACUGGGACUGAGACACGGCCCAGACUCCUACGGGAGGCAGCAGUGGGGAAUAUUGCACAAUGGGCGAAAGCCUGAUGCAGCGACGCCGCGUGAGGGAUGACGGCCUUCGGGUUGUAAACCUCUUUCAGCAGGGAAGAAGCGAAAGUGACGGUACCUGCAGAAGAAGCGCCGGCUAACUACGUGCCAGCAGCCGCGGUAAUACGUAGGGCGCAAGCGUUGUCCGGAAUUAUUGGGCGUAAAGAGCUCGUAGGCGGCUUGUCACGUCGGUUGUGAAAGCCCGGCGCUUAACCCCCGGCCCGCAGCCGAUACAGGUAAGCAAAA